rnacentral:rRNA from 1 species
UACAGAGGGUGCAAGCGUUGCUCGGAUUUACUGGGCGUAAAGCGUACGCAGACGGUUUGGAAGGUCGGACGUGAAAGCCCCGGGCUCAACCCGGGAAAUGCGUCCGAAACCACCUUACUAGAGUAUGAGAGAGGGAAGCGGAAUUCCUGGUGUAGAGGUGAAAUUCGUAGAUAUCAGGAGGAACAUCUGCGGCGAAGGCGGCUUCCUGGCUCAUUACUGACGUUCAGGUACGAAAGCGUGGGUAGCAAACAGG